GGGCAGACCUGAUAUCGAGACUAGGCUUACCUCAGCCUUUUCGCAGUAUCUGUAUGGUCUGCCCAGACUAAACGUGUUCUCAUAGUCCACUUUGAUGAUUCGCCUCACAAUUUGGCUCUCCGAAUUCGACAAA
rnacentral:snoRNA from 1 species